rnacentral:rRNA from 1 species
AUUGAACGCUGGCGGCAGGCUUAACACAUGCAAGUCGAGCGAACGGCGGACGGGUGAGUAAUGUCUGGGAAACUGCCUGAUGGAGGGGGAUAACUACUGGAAACGGUAGCUAAUACCGCAUACCAUCAGAUGUGCCCAGAUGGGAUUAGCUAGUAGGUGGGGUAAUGGCUCACCUAGGCGACGAUCCCUAGCUGGUCUGAGAGGAUGACCCGCCACACUGACACUUAGACACGGUCCAACCUCCUGCGGUAGGCAGCAGUGGGGAAUAUUGCACAAUGGACGCAAGCCUGAUGCAGCCAUGCCGCGUGUGUGAAGAAGGCCUUCGGGUUGUAAAGCACUUUCAGCGAGGAGGCGUUACUCACAGAAAAAGCACCGGCUAACUCCGUGCCAGCAGCCGCGGUAAUUC